GACGAACGCUGGCGGCGUGCCUAAUACAUGCAAGUAGAACGCUGAAGGAGGAGCUUGCUUCUCUGGAUGAGUUGCGAACGGGUGAGUAACGCGUAGGUAACCUACCUGGUAGCGGGGGAUAACUAUUGGAAACGAUAGCUAAUACCGCAUAAGAGUAGAUGUCGCAUGACAUUUGCUUAAAAGGUGCAAUUGCAUCACUACCAGAUGGACCUGCGUUGUAUUAGCUAGUUGGUGAGGUAACGGCUCACCAAGGCAACGAUACAUAGCCGACCUGAGAGGGUGAUCGGCCACACUGGGACUGAGACACGGCCCAGACUCCUACGGGAGGCAGCAGUAGGGAAUCUUCGGCAAUGGACGGAAGUCUGACCGAGCAACGCCGCGGGAGUGAAGAAGGUUUUCGGAUCGUAAAGCUCUGUUGUAAGAGAAGAACGAGUGUGAGAGUGGAAAGUUCACACUGUGACGGUAUCUUACCAGAAAGGGACGGCUAACUACGUG
rnacentral:rRNA from 1 species